rnacentral:rRNA from 1 species
UACAGAGGUCUCAAGCGUUGUUCGGAUUCAUUGGGCGUAAAGGGUGCGAGUAGGCGGCGCGGUAAGUCGGGUGUGAAAUCUUGGAGCUUAACUCCGAAACUGCAUUCGAUACUGCCGUGCUUGAGGACUGGAGAGGAGACUGGAAUUUACGGUGUAGCGGUGAAAUGCGUAGAUAAUCGUAAGGAAGACCAGUGGCGAAGGCGGGUCUCUGGACAGUUCUUGACGCUGAGGCACGAAUGGUCAGGGGAGCAAACGGGG